rnacentral:rRNA from 1 species
GUAGAAUCUGGCUUCAGGUUCGGGACAACAGUUGGAAACGGCUGCUAAUACCGGAUGUGCCCUUGGGUGAAAGAUUUAUCACCUGAAGAUGAGCUCGCGUCUGAUUAGCUAGUAGGUGUGGUAAGAGCGCACCUAGGCGACGAUCAGUAGCUGGUCUGAGAGGAUGAUCAGCCACACUGGGACUGAGACACGGCCCAGACUCCUACGGGAGGCAGCAGUGGGGAAUUUUCCGCAAUGGGCGAAAGCCUGACGGAGCAAUACCGCGUGAGGGAGGAAGGCUCNUGGGUUGUAAACCUCUUUUCUCAGGGAAGAANGAUGACGGUACCUGAGGAAUAAGCAUCGGCUAACUCCGUGCCAGCAGCCGCGGUAAUACGGAGGAUGCAAGCGUUAUCCGGAAUGAUUGGGCGUAAAGCGUCCGCAGGUGGCAAUGUAAGUCUGCUGUCAAAGCGUNUGGCUCAACCAGAUAAAGGCAGUGGAAACUACAUAGCUAGAGUAAGGUAGGGGUAGAGGGAAUUCCUGGUGUAGCGGUGAAAUGCGUAGAGAUCAGGAAGAACANCCGGUGGCGAANAGCGCUCUGCUGGACCUUAACUG